rnacentral:rRNA from 1 species
AGAAUCAACGCUGGCGGCGUGCCUAACACAUGCAAGUCGCACGAGAAAGGGUAGCAAUACCUGAGUAAAGUGGCGCACGGGUGAGUAACACGUGAAUUAUCUACCUCCGAGUGGGGAAUAACUGAGAGAAAUCUUAGCUAAUACCGCAUAACACUUACGAGUCAAAGCAGCAAUGCGCUUGGAGAGGAGUUCGCGGCCGAUUAGUUAGUUGGCGGGGUAGUGGCCGACCAAGACGAUGAUCGGUA